AUCGCUUCCCGGCCUUUGGCUAAGAUCAAGUGUAGUAUCUCUUCUUAUCAGUUUAAUAUCUGAUAUGUCCUCUAUCCAAGGAUAUUAUAUUAAACUAGAGGCCUGAUGCACGAAAUUCAUGCAUGGGUAGGGUCCCUAGGCCUGGCUGGCAAUCAGGGCCAAUCUGUG
rnacentral:snRNA from 1 species